AUUGAACGCUGGCGGCAUGCCUUACACAUGCAAGUCGAGCGGCAGCGCGGGGGCAACCCUGGCGGCGAGCGGCGGACGGGUGAGUACUACAUCGGAACGUGUCCUUUCGUGGGGGAUAACCAGUCGAAAGACUGGCUAAUACCGCAUGAGAUCUCACGAUGAAAGCGGGGGACCGCAAGGCCUCGCGCGAUUGGAGCGGCCGAUGUCGGAUUAGCUAGUUGGCGGGGUAAAAGCCCACCAAGGCGACGAUCCGUAGCUGGUUUGAGAGAACGACCAGCCACACUGGGACUGAGACACGGCCCAGACUCCUACGGGAGGCAGCAGUGGGGAAUUUUGGACAAUGGGCGCAAGCCUGAUCCAGCCAUGCCGCGUGUGUGAAGAAGGCCUCGGUUGUAAG
rnacentral:rRNA from 1 species